AACACAUGCAAGUCGAACGAUGAAACUUAGCUGAUUCUUCGGAAUGAAAUUAAGUGGAUUAGUGGCGAACGGGUGAGUAACACGUGAGUAACCUGCCUUACACAAGGGGAUAGCCUUUGGAAACGAAGAAUAAUACCCUAUAAAGUCAAUUUAUCGCAUGAUGAAAUGACCAAAGAUUUAUCGGUGUAAGAUGGACUUGCGUCUGAUUAGCUAGUUGGUGAGAUAAAAGCCCACCAAGGCGACGAUCAGUAGCCGGCUUGAGAGAGUGUACGGCCACAUUGGGACUGAGACACGGCCCAAACUCCUACGGGAGGCAGCAGUGGGGAAUUUUGCACAAUGGGGGAAACCCUGAUGCAGCGACGCCGCGUGAUUUAGAAGGCCUUCGGGUUGUAAAAAUCUUUUUUAUGGGAUGAAAAUGACAGUACCAUAAGAAUAAGGUCCGGCUAAAUACGUGCCAGCAGCCGCGGUAAUACGUAUGGACCGAGCGUUGUCCGGAAUCAUUGGGCGUAAAGGGUACGUAGGCGGCCUAGUAAGUUAGAAGUGAAAUAAUAUAGCUCAACUAUAUAAAGCUUUUAAAACUGUUAGGCUUGAGAGAUGAAAGGGAAAGUGGAAUUCCUAGUGUAGCGGUGAAAUGCGCAGAUAUUAGGAAGAAUACCGGUGGCGAAGG
rnacentral:rRNA from 1 species